UGGGGAAUAUUGCGCAAUGGUCGAAAGACUGACGCAGCGACGCCGCGUGUGGGAUGAAGCCCUUCGGGGUGUAAACCACUGUCAGGGGGGAAGAACAGCGACUGUGGGAAUAUCGCAGUCGUUUGACGGUACCCCCAGAGGAAGCGCCGGCUAACUCCGUGCCAGCAGCCGCGGUAAGACGGAGGGCGCAAGCGUUGUUCGGAAUUACUGGGCGUAAAGCGCACGCAGGCGGUUUUUUAAGUCCACUGUGAAACUCCGGGGCUCAACCCCGGACAUGCAGUGGAUACUGGAUAACUAGAGAUCGGUAGAGGCUAAUGGAAUUCCUGGUGUAGCGGUGGAAUGCGUAGAUAUCAGGAAGAACACCGGUGGCGAAGGCGGUUAGCUGGGCCGAUUCUGACGCUCAUGUGCGAAAGCGUGGGGAGCAAACAGGAUUAGAUACCCCCGUAGUCC
rnacentral:rRNA from 1 species